rnacentral:tRNA from 1 species
GUUGGUGUGGUGUAAUGGCAGCAUUACAACUUUCACCAAGUUGCCGGUGCGGGUUCGAUUCCCGUCACCAACU